CUGAUUACACCUCUGCCCUAGCCUGCCCAGUGCCCACCCAGUUAUUUCUUUGCCCAUCAUUCGUGAAUUGAAACACACAUUGUUUGAUUGACUUGUGGCGCAGUGGUGGCUACCCUGGUGGCGCAGUGGUAAAACUGCCCCCCUGUAACCAGAAGGUUACAAGUUCGAUCCUGACCAGGGGCUCAAGGUUGACUCAGCCUUCCAUCCUUCCGAGGUCGGUAAAAUGAGUACCCAGAAUGUUGGGGGGCAAUAUGCUAAAUCAUUGUAAACCACUUAGGUAGCUUCCAGCUAUAGAGUGGUAUAUAAAUGUAAGUGCUAUUGUGUGUAGGUAGGCCCAGCACAAUUCCGUUACUUUUUCAUCUUCUGUGCCUGUGAUAUUGACAACAACAGCAUCAUUGUUGUUCCAGCAAUCCUAAUCUGUGUAAUUAAAUUUUGAUAAAUUUGUAACUAACUUCCAUUCCCAGAACCACAGACAGAGAAUAACUGUAAUCCCUGUUAUUCGUGGCGAGUGCACUGAGCCAGCCUUAAAGAACUCCUCCACAGUCAGUGCACUGUGUGCGCACAGCAGUGCCACAAGCUAAGUGGCAUUAUUUUAUUUCUUGUUCUGUGGCAUCCUGCUUCUGUUGUGUCACACACACCUAACUCCCAGUCCCUCUAGCUAAACUCUGUGUGAUACACAUUACACAGCAACCUCUGAUUUAGCCAGCCACAGAAUUUGUGCCAAACAGCCUUAAGCAAGGAGGCACUCCACUCCAGUCCACAAGUCAUCACAGCAGCCCCUGUUUUUGGCCCUCUGAAUCUACCUGCCCCCUGAGACAACCCAAUCCACUCCACCACCACCCCCUUUUUACAUUCUAAAAAGAAGCCCCAAAACCAUGGCUGGGAGGGCUGGUAGAGCAGCAGAAAGAGGCAGGUUGCAAGGAAGGGGGAGGCUUUUCUUCCCUGCUGGUCGUGGCAGGGGGCGGCCAGAGGGGCUUACUCCCCGAGUCACCCCCGGCCCUGCUUCGGCAUGCAGGCUAGACUUCUCGAGUCAACCUGGCCCUAUGCCAGAGCCUGCAGCAGGGCAGAAUUUAGGGGGGAGGGCCUCCCAAUUUGCCAGGGAAGAAGAUCUUCCUGUGGCUGCUGAGGAGGUGGUGCUGGUGGAGGAGGCUGGCAGUCCAGCCAGAUCCACCUUGCCGCCCUCCCCACCGGUCCCUGUUGGGGGGUGGGGAGCCCAGGGUUGCAUCUGAGGAGGCUCAGGAGGAGGGAAGCCCACUUGUCCCUGGGCCUUCCCAGGCCAGCUCUGAGGUCAGUGGUGGUGGUGGCAUGCCCGAGAAGGAACCAGCAAAGCUGCCACCUCCCAAGCGACCUCGUGUCGCAGGAGAGUCCAGCAGUGUGGACUGAGAUCACUUUGAGCUUCGCCCUGGUGAUCCCACCCAUGCUGAGUGCACCGACUGCAAGGCGCUGGUCAGCAGAGGCAAGGACCCUAAGCACUUCACUACCUUGGGUCUGUUGUUGCACCUGCGCCAGCGGCACCCAGGUGGGGAGACCUCUGCUGGCAGUGGCAGUAGGCACAGUGCCUCGACUAACAGUAGUGGCAGCAAGCGGCCAGUGGCUCCUGCUCCUAGGCAGGAAAAACUGACCGAUCGUCAUCAGUGGAUGCAAUCUCUGGGAAAGCGGUCUGAUCACCCAAAAGCACAUCUCGUGGCUCGGGCCAUUGCUGAGAUGAACGCUUUGGAUAACCAGCCGAUUUCCAUUGUUGAGAAUGUCGGCUUCCACCGUCUGCUCCAGCUACUUUCCCCAGAUUACAAGAUCCCUUCAAGGAGCACCUUCAGCAGGAGGGUGGUCCCCUCCUUGUACCAUGCGUGCAGGGAGGCUGUGUUGGCCCGGUUGCGUGCAGCUGGGCCCAGCACCAGUGUGCAUUUCACUGCGGAUAUCUGGACUAGCCGCAGCGGGCUGCACACUGCCUUCAUGUCCCUGACAGCCCACUGGUGGGGGCAUGGGGGUGAGGGGACAUCUGGCUCUGCUGGCACUGUAUCCAGCUCCUCCCAUGCAUGCACGCCUUCUUGGGCAGUGUUGCAUGUGGAGGCGAUGGAUACAGACCACAGGUCGGGUGAGUUGGCCGCCAUCAUGGACCGCCAGGUGGGGGGUUGGCUGACUGUGGAGUCAAGCCUCUGACGAGGCUUCAUGGUGACAGACAAUGCAGCUAACAUCAGCAAGGCAGCUAGGCAGGUUUACGGUGUGAACAUGGCAUGCGUUGCGCACACCUUGAACCUGGUGGUGCAGGAUGCGCUUGGGCUCAAGGAGGCGGCGAAGUCCAAGCUGUGUGCGAAGGGUGUUAGUUAAGCUAAGGAUCCUGCGGCUCCCGUGGCUGCUCUUGUGGAGCAGUGCCGCAAGAUAGCGGGUGGAGCAUGUGGAGUACAAAGUUAACAAUCAAUGGUGAGACAUUUGGACAGGUUAGCAUUAGAAGAGACAUAUUCCAAGGGGACUCACUAUCCCCUCUGUUGUUUGUAAUUGCCAUGACUCCACUUUCACAAAUACUAAACAAAACAGGCCUCAGAUACCAAACAUCUAAAACAUCAAGUCAAAUCAACCAUCUGAUCUACAUGGAUGAUCUGAAGUUGUAUGGAAAGUCCCAGUCAGAAAUCGAAUCACUGUUAAACACUCUCCGUAUAUUCAGUAGCGAUAUAGCAAUGGAGUUUGGACUAGACAAGUGUGCUGCAUUAAUAAUGAACAGAGGGAAAAUAAGAAAAACAGAAGGAAUAGAGCUGCCCAAUGGAAGCAAGAUCAAGAACCUGGAAGACAAAGAACAUUACAAAUACUUGGGCAUUCUCCAGGCUGAUAACAUUGCACACACUGAAGUUAAAAGAAAAAUUGGAAGUGAAUAAAUCAGGAGAGUUAGAAAAAUCCUCAAGUCCAAACUCAAUGGCGGGAACACCAUAUAAGCCAUAAACACCUGGGCUAUACCUAUUAUCAGAUACACUGCAGGAAUAAUAGACUGGACCCAGGCAGAGCUAGAGACGCUAGAUCAUAAGACCAGGAAAAUAAUGACCAUCAAUCAUGCUCUGCACCCCCACAGUGAUGUAGAUAGGCUAUACCUCCCUCACAGCUCAGGUGGAAGAGGAAUGCUGCAAGUCCAUCAAACGGUAGAGGAGGAGAAAAGAGGCCUUGAAGAAAAUAUCAAGGACAGUUAAGAAGAUGCACUUCAAAUGGUCAAUAACGCAAAACUAUUCAACACCAAUGAGAGAAAGCAGGCCUACAAGAAAGAACAAGUCAAGAACCGAGCAGAAAAAUGGGAAAAGAAGCCACUGUAUGGUCAAUAUUUGCACAAUAUAAGUGGAAAAUCAGACAUCACCAAGACCUGGCAAUGGCUUCAGAAUGGCAACUUGAAGAAAGAAACAGAGGGUUAAAUACUGGCUGCACAAGAACAGGCACUAAGAACAAAUGCAAUAAGAGCAAAAGUCAAAAAAUCCACAACAAACAGCAAGUGCCACCUUUGGAAAAAAGCAGAUGAAACAGUGGACCACCUAAUCAGCUGUUGUCAAAAGAUCGCACAGACUUACUACAAACAAAGGCAUGACAAGGUAGCAGGGAUGAUACACUGGAACAUCUGCAAAAAAUACAAGCUACCUGUAGCCAAAAAUUGGUGGGACCAUAAAAUUGAAAAAGCUGAAGAAAAUGAAGAUGUAAAAAUAUUAUGGGACUUCCGACUACAAACAGACAAACAUCUGCCACACAAUACACCAGACAUAACUGUAGUCGAGAAGAAAGAAAAACAAGUUAAAAUAAUCGACAUAGCAAUACCAGGGGAUAGCAGAAUAGAAGAAAAAGAAAUAGAAAAAAUCACCAAAUACAAAGAUCUACAAAUUGAAAUUGAAAGGCUGUGGCAGAAAAAGACCAAACUAAUCCCAGUGGUAGUUGGCGCCCUGGGUGCAGUUCCCAAAGACCUUGAAGAGCACCUCAACACCAUAGGGGCCACAGAAAUCACCAUCAGCCAGUUACAAAAAGCAACUUUACUGGGAACAGCCUAUAUUCUGCGAUGAUAUCUAUAACAACAGCAACAACAUUGACCAUAAAAUUCAGCCAUCCCAGGGAAGGACUCGAUGUCUGGAUAAAACAAACCAGUCAAUAACACCUGUUUGACUGUGUAAAUAAAUAAUAAUAAUAGAACUUGAAGUAACCCAGGGGCAGUAGAUUCAGGACAGACUGCUUUGCACAAUGCAUCUUUACGUUGCGCGAUUCCCUUCGAGAUGUCGGGAGUGCCACUGACUUCACUUAAGAAUUACGCCAAUUAAUGGAAGAUAGGUCUGUCGAUAGACAGGUGAACUCUGGGAACCCCCGUGAAUGAAUGCAGGCUAGAACUACUGAUGGAUGGGCUAACAGUCCAAAUUCCAAAACAGCCAUCCCAGUUCCUAGAGGAAAGGACUCUCUCUCCCUCUCGUUUUAUUGAAUGAAAUGGCUUAACUUCCCGAAAGACUUACCUGGAGUCUGUGAUGAGCCGGAUGAGGGAGAACAAACUGAGGCUGAAUCCAAGGAAGACAGAGCAUCUUUCACCAACUACAAAUGAAAAGAUUCCUAAGUUAAUGCAAACACUACACUGUGCUGCCAAUAGAGUGCAGCCCGUCAAGCUCGUCACUCCCACCCCAAUAUCUCAACUGCCUAAAAUCACAAAAAAUCUUAGUCAUCAGCUCUGAUUCCAAAAAAGGUGAUUUUGGUAUUUGCAGACCCUAAGCCUGCACAGUGACAAAGCGGGGAACAUGAUGCUCCCAACAUAGACUCGAGAGACCGCUCCAUUCCCAACAAGAGAGACACCAGAGAAGUCACACCAAGAUCACCCUCCAAUCCUGAACGUGACUCCAACCCAGCUCAAAUGGAGGAUUAUACCAUCAACCCUAGCUGGUCUUCUCAACACCGACUGAAAAGCAUGCCCUGCACGAUACCGACUAUAUAGAAGAGACCCUACGUGAUACCAACGCUCUCCGGGUCACAGGGAAUCCCCUCACCAUCUGUACUCUCCUAAAUGCUAUUCCAUAGGAUCCGGUGUAUUGCUACUGAGAACGUCGACACUGAGACUACUUUCCAUCUGAUCAUGCCUGAUCGUUCCACUUACAUCUUCGAUGACAGAUCUGUCACUGAUGAUAGAGAACGCUAUCUCCACCCUUGCUCUUGGGCUCCACAUCGAAACCAAUAUCCGGGGAGAUUGCACCAUCCAGACUCUCGGUCCUGAUCAUACUCUCCUCAGCACUGCAGGUCUUGGUCUCAGUCAAGAGAUAAGAGAACUCAACCACCUAAGCAGCUGGACUUUGACCUCCUACCACCGGAUUCCUCGAUUGAAGAAUCCGCCUCAGAGGAAGAUGCAGAAACAGCCCUGGACAUCGCAUGGGGUUCCACACCUUCAGAUCUAAUUGAAGAUCCAAAGCCUCUGCCUCCCUCGGAGUACCUGAAGCUCUUCACUGACCAAGUGGCCUAUAUGGCUACCUCUUUACAUAUCCAGGUUAACGAACCUCCUAAAUCUCCUCCUGAUCCCAUUUUUGGGCCAACUGAUGCUGGAACUUUGCACUCUUUCUUCCUACCACUGAACUCUGCUUGAAUGGACAUUGUCAACGCUUGCUGGGCAUUUUUGCCACCUACCUCUCAGAAGCUGGAAGGUUUUUUUACAAGGUUCAAGCCAGGGACAAUCAGUUCCUUCUGUGCCAUCCUACUCCUCACUCCAUUAUAAUGGACUCUGCUCAGUCCUGUUCAAAGAACAGAAUCCAUUCAGCAGCAUCUGACACAGAAGGCAGAAAAGCAGAUGCCCUUGGGCCUGUCCCCUUUCCAAACAGCUCCUCCAUAUACGUCUCGCCAUGCCACUGACUGUUCAUUCAAUGUUUGCUGCAGCAACUCCUCGCUGGCACACAUGGAUGUGUUCACCUACAUUGGCACCUGGAACAAGAGGAAGAAGAAGAGAGAAUUUGACCUUUUGAUGGCCAGGCCCUUGUUGGAAAGGAGACAAAAUGGAAAGGAGACAAAAACUGAAAAAUAUGGCAAGACCUAUGACCUCCCAACAACCUGCCUACAAUUCCUCAAGGGGCAACAAAUCCUCUUCUUCUUCUGCUGCUGCUAUAUCAUUUUGUCCUUCCAGCUACUCUCAAUCAACUAACCGUUCCUUUCGUCCUUCUAGGACCUCCCUAUUUCAGAAAAGACAGGUCUCCUUCGUAAAAUCACAACCUUCCAAAUCUCAACCACCAGUGCAUAGCAAGUGCUCGGGACUCAAGCAGCUGCAAAUAUUAUUCUUUGAAGCACUCCACACACAAAUCGGGCUUUGUCUCCCAAAUUCUAGCUUAUCUCGAUGUAUUUCUGGGUUUUUUAAAUGCUGCUUUUAAUGAGAUUUUCUGAAAACACCAGAGCAAAUAGGGAGAGGCAUUGACGUAGAAUCAUUCACAUGAGAAGAGGGAUAUAAUCUUUUAGGAAUGCAGAUAGAGGCUUUAGAAAUCUCUCUCCCCACCCCGCCAUUGGCUAGAAGGAAAAUACGGAGGCACGCAAUGUGAACUUGCACCAAAAGAAAACCUGAGAGCAGAGGGGAGGGGCUGCUUCCCUCCUUGUCGCGAGUGUGAUUCGAAGUGUCUUCACUCAACAUUGACCCUGAAGCAUGAAGCCAGGUGCGAAUAACUCCCUGGCCUUCCAGGGUUUUCUAACGGCUUUACAUGUUUUCGUUGUUCAUGGUUUUAGACUGUUUUUGAAAUUGUUUUGUAAGGAUUGUUUUUAAAAGUGCCUAGGUAAUGAGAGCAGCAGUAGCCAUCUUGCUGCCCCUCGGGCAUCCCAAUAAUCUGCCCAUUGAGGGAACUGCCUGACCUUGCCUCAUGGAAGGACCGCCCUUACCUGUCAUCACUGCUCCAUUAAGGGUGUGGAGAGCUCACUUUACAUAGGCCUCUGGAUUAAAGGCAGCAAAGUUAGUUGUCCAAUCCAGAUCCCAUACUUUACAAUAGCCUGCUGCAAUGUGUUCAUUUUUGGAAAGGCUGACAUCCUGACCCCCAGUUCAUUCUUGUGCUGAAGAGUGUGUGUGUGCUUCCUUCCUUCCUUUCCUGCUUGCACAUGUCCUGGGCUUCACUGAGUCCAUGAGUCACUCUUAGGGGGCAGAAGUCAGGGACUGGAUUGUGUCCAAGUGCCUUGUUUUAAACUAUUAAGCCAAGCUCACUGCCAUUGCUUGGAAUGCAUUGCAAUAGGAAGCUUGAGAUUCCCACUUUAGCCUUCUGGAGGGGAUGUCUGGCCAGUUUCCCAACUUAGCACCAAAUGAAGGAUGCCCAGAAGCCACAUGUGUGGUCACACAUGGGUGGUGAAGGGGAGCAGGAGAACAUUCACCAUCCAUGGGUGCUCUUUCUGGGCCUUCCUGACUGAACGCCAUCAGGUAUAGAGAUAGAAUGCAAGUACAUAUCAUAGGAACACAGGAAUAUAGGAAGCUGCCAUAUACUGAGUCAGACCAUUGGUCUAUCUAGCUCAGUAUUGUCUACACAGACUGGCAGCAGCUUCUCAAAAUCUGCAGAGAGGAAUCUCUCUCAGCCCUGUCUCGGAGAUGCUGCCAGGGAGGGAACUUGGAAGCUAGAAGCUCUUUCCAGAGCAGCUCCAUCCCCUAAGGGAAAUAUCUUACAGUGAUCACACAUGUGGUCUCCCAUUCAUAGGCAACUGUGGCAGACCCUGCUUAGCUAAGGGGAAAAGUCAUGCUUGCUAACACAUGUGGUCUCCCAUUCAAAUGCAACCAGGUUGGACCCUGCUUAGCUAGGGGGCCAGGUCAUGCUUGCCACCACAAUACCAGCUCUCUUUGCUAGACCAGCUCUCCUCUCUAUGCAAGAACAUCAUCCUCUAUGCAAGAACAUAGCCUGGGACUCUAGUCCGAUCUAGAAUGGGACCCAUCCAUAUGUGCUUCUAUCCAUUCUGAAAAUAAAGCCAGCCACUCCAGAACAAAUGGAGGCAGGCCCAUAUUAGAACUGCUUUGAAUCAGAGCUUCAUAUGGUCAUAGAAUCUGCACUCGAGGCUCUGAGGAAGAGAUCUGGUCUUGUGGAAGGGAGCAUGGAUUGUUCUUUUUGCUAUGCAGGGUCCAUGCUGGUUUGCUUUUAGAUGGGUGACUACAUCCAAGAGCCAGCGUGGUGCAGUAGUUAGAGUGCUGGACUAGGACCGGGGAGAUCUGAGUUCAAAUCCCCAUUCAGCCAUAAGACCUGCUGGGUGACUCUGGGCCAGUCACUUCUCUCUCAGCCUAACCUACUUCACAGGGUUGUUGUGAGGAGAAACUCAAGUAUGUAGUACACCGCUCUGGGCUCCUUGGAGGAAGAGCGGAAUAUAAAAUGUAAAAAUAAAUAAAAUACAUGGGA